UACAGGGGGUGCAAACGUUGCUCGGAAUCAUUGGGCGUAAAGCGCACGUAGGCGGUCUGUUAUGUCGGAUGUGAAAGCCCUUGGCUCAACUGAGGAAGUGCAUCCGAAACUGGCAGGCUAGAGUACUAAAGAGGAUCGCGGAAUUCCCGGUGUAGAGGUGAAAUUCGUAGAUAUCGGUAGGAACACCAGUGGCGAAGGCGGUCUUCUGGAGCUACUCGUGACGCUGAGGCGGCGAAAGCUGGGGGAGCGAACGGGG
rnacentral:rRNA from 1 species